GACGAACGCUGGCGGCGUGCUUAACACAUGCAAGUCGAGCGGUAAGGCCCUUUCGGGGGUACGACGAGCGGCGAACGGGUGAGUAACACGUGGGUGACCUGCCCUCCAGCUCUGGGAUAAGCCUGGGAAACCGGGUCUAAUACUGGAUAUGACUCCAUGACGCAUGUUGUGGGGUGGAAAGCCUUGUGCGGCUGAGGAUGGGCCCGCGGCCUAUCAGCUUGUU
rnacentral:rRNA from 1 species